GACCGUUCGACUUCCUCAGAGUUCUUUGACUCGUCUGUCAGCUUGUUCACAUCUUCGGGUCUCAAAGCGUACGCUCAGACUCCACAACAGAACAAGWCCUAGUCAUGGKUCGAUGUUGCGCUUCGCUCGUCGAAACAAACAAAGCUCACACCACAGACACUGAAGUGUCCCACUUUCAUUACGCCUUUGACUUUCAACAGCCAAUGACUUGCGUACACCUUAAACUCCUUGGUCCGUGUUUCAAGACGGGUCAAAUAGGUGAUCGACUAAACACCGAAUUUGAAGUAGAGCAACGACGCCAAACAACUAAAGACAUGAAUGCAAAACGCAUGCAUCGUACAAAUACCUCCUCAAUUGCCCGACGCCAUCACGAAAUACCAACUUCAUUUUACGACCAARCUCAUCCGCCAUCCCGUCGCCUAGGUUUCCAAUCCGAAAAUCGGUCCUCUCGACGACUUUCAAACGGCGAAUUCGAUCGAUCGGCGCACUCUGGCACUGCCGAUUUUAAGACGAAAAAUCGAAAAAGACUUGCAGACUUUACCCAAAAUUCGCCUAAAUUAAUUGAUACGCACUGGAUACGUCGACUCUAUCGCUUCACUAUACGGUUCACGUCUCUGCCUCUCUUUCAAGUGCUUUCACUUCCUCACGUACUGUA
rnacentral:rRNA from 1 species